rnacentral:rRNA from 1 species
AACGAACGCUGGCGGCAUGCCUAACACAUGCAAGUCGAACGAGACCUUCGGGUCUAGUUGCGCACGGGUGCGUAACGCGUCGGAAGCUUCACGUAUGUUCCGAAUACCUCUCCGAAGGGGGUGCUAAUACCGGAUAAUUUCUUCUGGCCGAAGAUAUCUCGCCUUUGGAUGGGCCCGAGUUGCAUUAGCUAUUUGGUACGGUAAAAGCCUACCAAGGCGACGAUCCAUAGCUGGUCUGAGAGGAUGAUCAGCAACACUGGGUAUGCGACACGGCGCAAACUCCGGCGGGAGGCAGCAGUGGGGAAGAUUGGACAAGGGGCGAAAGACUGAGCCAGCAAUGCCGCGAAAGUGAUGAAGGGCGUAGGGUUGUAAAGCGCUUUUACCCGGGAUGAUAAGGACGGAACCGGGAGAAAAGACACCGGUAAACUCGGG